GUAGGUGGCAAGCGUUGUCCGGAAUUAUUGGGCGUAAAGCGCGCGCAGGCGGGCCCUUUAAGUCUGAUGUGAAAGCCCACGGGCUCAACCGUGGAGGGUCAUUGGAAACUGGGGGACUUGAGUACAGAAGAGGAAAGCGGAAUUCCAAGUGUAGCGGUGAAAUGCGUAGAGAUUUGGAGGAACACCAGUGGCGAAGGCGGCUUUCUGGUCUGUAACUGACGCUGAGGCGCGAAAGCGUGGGGAGCAAACAGGAUUAGAUACCCUGGUAGUCCACGCCGUAAACGAUGAGUGCUAAGUGUUAGGGGGUUUCCGCCCCUUAGUGCUGCAGCUAACGCAUUAAGCACUCCGCCUGGGGAGUACGGCCGCAAAGGCUG
rnacentral:rRNA from 1 species